rnacentral:tRNA from 1 species
AAAUAAGAAACAAUAAAUUGUAUUUAGUUUCGACCUAAAAUUUUGAUGUAUUAUAUCAUCCUUAUUUA